AGCAGCCGCGGUAAUUCCAGCUCCAAUAGCGUAUAUUAAAGUUGUUGCAGUUAAAAAGCUCGUAGUUGAAUUUCGGGAUCAAUAUGUUGGUCGUGCCUCGGUACGUACUAGCAUAUUGGUUUCUCCUUUCUGAAGAACCAUGAUGUCAUUCAUUUGGUGUCGUGGGGAAUCAGGACUGUUACUUUGAAAAAUUAGAGUGUUUAAAGCAGGCUCACGCUUGAAUACAUUAGCAUGGAAUAAUGAAAUAGGACGUUUGAUUCUAUUUUGUUGGUUUCUAGGAUCGACGUAAUGAUUAAUAGGGAUAGUUGGGGGCAUUGGUAUUCAAUUGUCAGAGGUGAAAUUCUUGGAUUUAUUGAAGACUAACUACUGCG
rnacentral:rRNA from 1 species